rnacentral:rRNA from 1 species
GUCACGAGUUUGAUCCUGGCUCAGAACGAACGCUGGCGGCAUGCCUAACACAUGCAAGUCGAACGAGACCUUCGGGUCUAGUGGCGCACGGGUGCGUAACACGUGGGAAUUUGCCUCGGGGUAUGGAAUAACUCAGGGAAACUUGAGCUAAUACCAUAUAAUGUCUUCGGACCAAAGAUUUAUCGCCCUGAGAUAAGCCCGCGUAGGAUUAGCUAGUUGGUGGGGUAAAGGCUCACCAAGGCGACGAUCCUUAGCUGGUCUGAGAGGAUGAUCAGCCACACUGGGACUGAGACACGGCCCAGACUCCUACGGGAGGCAGCAGUGGGGAAUUUUGGACAAUGGGCGCAAGCCUGAUCCAGCAAUGCCGCGUGCAGGAUGAAGGCCUUCGGGUUGUAAACUGCUUUUGUACGGAACGAAACGGUGAGCUCUAAUACAGUUUGCUAAUGACGGUACCGUAAGAAUAAGCACCGGCUAACUACGUG